rnacentral:tRNA from 1 species
GGCCAAAUAGCUCAGUCAGUUGACCGUGGUGCUAACAACGCCAAGGUCAUGGGUUCGAUUCCCGUUCGGUCCC